AGCAACUCACAGGCUGGAGAUAAAGAUCAAGACAUGUUAUCUUACAAGAUUCCUGACAAAUUUGUGCUUGGCUAAAUUCCCUGACCUAGAAUGUCCAAGCUGAGAAUAUCUCAGCAUGGUUUUGCUGCUGCAAGGCUCUUUAGCUGCUGGCCUGACAUGGUUUCUGGUUUACUUCUGACUACCAUCUCUAUCUUCCCCUAGUAUCCUCUUAUUUUCCAGUUUUCCUCCCUUAUUUCCUCAUUUGCUUCCUUGUUAUUCCCUAUGUUAUUCUCUAUUCCCUUUUUACAUUUCUCAGACAUCCUUUUCUCUUGUGGACCCAAGAAGGAUACUGCACUGCAAUGACAUACAGUCUAUUUGCCAAGACAGUGAAAAACAGAUGGAUAUGAGGUGCAAGAAGACUAAGAAGCAGAAUGGAAAAAGACAACUCCGAUGGAUACAGGACUUUUCACUGUCUGUGCCGACCAGAGACUCACGUCUCUUCCCACAGCGCAGAAUUAGCCAUUUUAAAGUUACUGGCUACAAAAGAGCUCACACAAAAACAUACUUGCUGCAGUCAGAAGUCUCCACAAGAGGACACGCAAUAAUAUAAGAAGUUUGAUCAGCAAAACUUCUUUUAUGUCUCAUUUUAUGCCAGAAGAGAAAAGAAAGCUCUACUCAAUCAAGAAGAUAUGGCACACAGUCAGAAAAGAAGAAAAAAUAGUUCAAGACAAAGGGAGCUGAUUGCAGAAAUUUGUUACUCCUGAGGAAGUGAGUACAGAAAUAUGUAAAAGCUUUGAGUAGGCAGAGCAUGUGAAGAAGAUUCACAAGAAGAACUGUUUUUAUUAAUUAAAAACAUCAUCAUCAACAACAAAAGCUCUGCAACUCAUGUCACUGAUUCUUGCUCUAAAACUGGAUCUAUGUUUAUCUUUUAAGUACCUUUUGAUUUUUUUUUUAAUCCAAAUCUGAUUUUGUUUUUAGAUUUUCCCUUUUAUUUCCUUUCUACAACCAAAUGCAAAAUAAAAUAUUAAUAAGAAAAAAAAUCUGAUAGCAUGACUUCACUUUCCUGCCUUCCUGAUUUAUUCUGUUUUUUUUUCUGUCCUUUUGUCCUCUAUAACUUCAGAAGCAUUAGGUACCAUCAAAAUUAUCACUCUUCACUAUAUUCUUUGCCACAGAAGUAUAUAUAUAACAGAGACCUUAACUUUUUUUUUUUUUUGACAAAACCUUAUUUACUAUUCAGAACAGAAAUUGGCAAACAUCAGUCUUCACAUCCUCAGUAACUUUGGAAAGAUAUAGGAAGGGUUCCUCUAAAUCUAAGAGGUGAUAUUAAAGUUGUAUAACUAAUGGUUGAAGAGAAGAAAUACAAGAGAAGUGAAAUGGGGUUAUUUUUAUGUGCUUGCGUGUAUGGACCACAACUUCCUUGUCUCCUCUGCAUUGCUUACUUCACUGAGAUCUCUACUAAAGUGACCUUGCCAAUUAAAUUUCUAUAAGUGGCUAAUAUACUACAGGAGAUUAAUUCUGCUUCUUUGUCUCAUGCUUUAGUGUCUUACCUCAGGCUUCUUCAGAGUUUGUCAUAACCAGUUAAGCCAAAUCUAUAUAUUUACCUUUUUCUUCUCACUUUAUCUCCUGUCGUAUCCACAGACCUCAAACUCCUUAUAAUGUAUCUUGAAUGUUAGGUACAUUCCUGAAUAUAACACAUAUGUUAUUACUAUAACUGAAUUCAUGAAAUGUAUGUAAUUUCUGGAGACAAUAAACCUAGUCUGAGAUA